ACGAGUUAGGGUCUCAGGCCCGACCUCCCAACCCUGUGUUUACUGAACCACUGUUGCUUCGGCGGGCCCGUCUCACGACCGCCGGGGGGUGUUCUACGCCCUCUGGCCCGUUGUCCGCCGACGGCCAACACCUCAAAAUUCUUGAAAUGCAUGACAUUCUGAGUCUCUAUGAAAUAAAGCAAA
rnacentral:misc_RNA from 1 species